CUUCAUGAAAGCACUAUUUGCCCCCUGAGUACAUUAGUUCGAUUUUAGCUCUUGCAAGCAGGUCUCUGAAUCAUGAGGAUAAUUCCAUCUACUUAACCAUGUCAGGAAGGGAGGCAGCAUCUCUAUUCUUGAGUGGCUUCCUAUGCUUUUAUCAGCAGCAGCAGCUUUUUGCAAUCUAAUAAAAUAAUAAUAUCUGCACAAAGAGUUCACCCAGUAGAGAAAAACAUUUUCUCAAGACAAUCAAUUUCCCUGAUCUGAAUCUUUAAAGCAGUAAAAUGUUAGUGUUAAAUAGGUGCUAAUUUUAUCUUCUUUGUUGGUGACUCAUUUACUUGGAAUUAAAGCAGUAGAAACUGCACUGUUUAGAUUGUAACAACUGAUAUAAGUGUUUCCUGAUGAGAAUCAUGUCUCUAUGCCAGAGCAGCAAGGGUGUCCACAUGGAUGGCUGCAAGGAGAUCUGGAAGGCAUGAAUGCUUUGGAAUUGGGUAAGGCUGUUUCUAAUGGUGUAACCUAAGGCAAGUCAGCAUCACUAAAGUGUAAAAUGUGUGAGAAGAAGUGUAACUCCUGAAUUGUUUUAAUCAUCAAUAUAAAUUUCAAAGCUUUAUUCCUUUUCUUUCUCAUUACUUCCUUUUGACUUAGAAUGAAACAGGUUCAUCAUCAGCUUUGAAGUAUGUGUACUCUGCAGAAGGUGAACAAGGGCCUUCUAGAAUGUGGAAGCUGAAUUCACUUUGAGUAGUGAAAGUAUUAAUUCCUUCAGGAACUUCUCUAGUUCUCUAGCUGCUGUCCUCAGCUGUCAUGACUCUGACUGUAUGCAGACAGGAAAGCAUGUUGCUCCCUAUUUGUGCAUUUUAUCUUCUCCUCAAUCCACAAAGGGAAGAGGAAGACCACGUUGAUCCUGAUGUUUUACUAAAUACAAAAUUACCUCCAGCAUCCUCAUUCAUCUGUGGGCUGAUGCCUGCUGUUUCCGAGUCUAGACACUAGAUGGGGUGAUUCUUCAUCAAGUGAGUGAAGUGUUGUCAAGCCCCCUGAGAAGCACCAAUGUGCAGG
rnacentral:lncRNA from 1 species